UGCGCAGGCGGCUUAUUAAGUCGGAUGUGAAAUCCCCGAGCUUAACUUGGGAAUUGCAUUUGAUACUGGCGAGCUAGAGUAUGGGAGAGGAUGGUAGAAUUCCAGGUGUAGCGGUGAAAUGCGUAGAGAUCUGGAGGAAUACCGAUGGCGAAGGCAGCCAUCUGGCCUAAUACUGACGCUGAGGUACGAAAGCAUGGGGAGCAAACAGGAUUAGAUACCCGGGUA
rnacentral:rRNA from 1 species